AGGGCAACGAUUGAUAGUUGAAACCUCUUUUUCAAGUCCCGGGGGACUAGUUGCUUGGUUCCGACCAUUUCCGCUAAAGAAAAAGCCAUUCCUGACUAAAGAAAAGUCAAAACAAAAGGUAGGCGGUCAGACCUAGGGCAUGUAGCAUAGAAAAACCUUCGCCCUUAGCGAAGGGCUUUCUGAAAGCUCCAUUUGAAGCAGGUGCCUAAACAGAUGAUUCCAGUUCAACUCAUUUUUGAAAUGCUACCUCAAGAGAAGGGGGGCCUCUGGCCCGGAAGAUGCCUUAUAUGGAUAGGGUAUAUACUACUACGAUUGGCUCUAUUCCCUGAGAGUCCCAAUCUUCUUGAAAAAACGUGAUACGCGGAACCUUGGUUCGUGAAUUUUCCAGUUGGAAUUCCUACAUUUAGUAUUUAGUAGUUUCAUUCGACAGCUAAAAUUCAUGCUUUUGACGUAGCAUCGGGUGUUCACUUGGAAAACCUUUCUAUAGUGCCCCAUUUCCUAUGAUAUCCAAACCCGAAAUAU
rnacentral:lncRNA from 1 species